UGCAACCUGUCCCCGAACUUAUACUGCAUGAGGGAAAAAUUAGAAUAAAUAACCACAAAGAUUCACAGAUAAUUGUUUGGACUCCACACCAGUCAUUUCUAAAAUCUGCAGAAAUCAACCAAGCUCCCUAACAAGAAUGUGAAAACAUAACAUCUUAUAUAGUCACUUUAACAGAUAAAGACAGAGUUUAUAGUAAUGCUAGAGCUGUGCCUGUUAGCCUUUGCUAAAGGAACUGAAAUACUCAAUGUAUUCACCAGCAUGCAUGGCAUAAAUCUCUCGGCCUGAUCAUCAUUCUAGCACACCCAUCAGCCACAUAACCACCAUGCCUGAUAGAUACAACGACAGCCUUGUAUCUCGCAUUUAGAGACUUUGAGGGGCCCAUAAAAAUGGAGUGUCAAAUCACUUGAUUCCAAUUUCCAAAAAAUUAAAAACAAAAAAAGAAAACAAAAUUUUAAAAAUUACAAAAAAAAAGUUAAAAUUUAAAAAAAAAAUUGAACCCAGCACCCAAAUGACCAAAUGUGAAUUCCUAAAAGUUGACCAUUUGAGUAACUCAAACCAUUCUAAACCAAGCAACCGAAGCCUGCCUUAAAAAAAGUUGACACACGAUAACAACCAACCCAAACCCACCUGAUGACCUGAUUGCCACCUCUACAUACUUUCAACCAAUCAGCCCUACUUACCAAUUACCAUUGUCCAUAAACCUAAAAUACACCACCCCUCUAUUUCACCACUUGUAAGUUGUAAUAUCGCUCAAAACCCAUAAAUUACCAAUUGAAACAAACAAAAAUCUAAAAUACUUUAAGAUGUUCAAAUACACCUCCCUUAGAACUAAUUUCAUUCAGAAACUCUCAACUAUUAUCCAUAGAUAUUCAAAAGCACCCAAUUCAGAAAAUAUCUGUGCAAUUGUAUUCUCUACCUCGAAAUUCAUAGCCAAACAAUAACCCCAUGCCAAAGCAACAAGGCAAUACUUGAUCUAGGCUCAGUCCUUUAAGUAGAUGGGGGAUGUGAGGAGAAUGUUAGUCAUAGGAUUAAAGCCA
rnacentral:misc_RNA from 1 species